GCCUGCGUAGCCCAAUAGCAGAGGCAUCGGUCUAAGAAGCCGAAGAUUGAGGUGCGAAUCCCUUCGCAGGCA
rnacentral:tRNA from 1 species